rnacentral:rRNA from 1 species
CAGUAGCCGCGGGAAAACGAGGGGUGCAGGCGUUAUUCGGAUUGAUUGGGUGUAAAGGGUGUGCAGACGGCUUAUUAAGUCACUUGUUAAAUUCUUCGGCCUAACUGAAGGUCUGCAAGUGAUACUGAUGAGCUAGAGGGUGGAAGAGAGAAGUGGAAUUCUCGGAGUAGCGGUAAAAUGCGUAGAUCUCGAGAGGAACACCAAUGGCGAAGGCAGCUUCUUGGUCCAUUCCUGACGUUCAUACACGAAAGCGUGGGGAGCAAACAGGAUUAGAUACCCCUGUAGUCCCUGUCUCUUAUAC